rnacentral:rRNA from 1 species
CCUACGGGAGGCUGCAGUGGGGAAUAUUGGACAAUGGGGGGAACCCUGAUCCAGCCAUGCCGCGUGUGUGAAGAAGGCCCUCGGGUUGUAAAGCACUUUCAGUGAGGAAGAACGCCUGGUGGUUAAUACCCAUCAGGAAAGACAUCACUCACAGAAGAAGCACCGGCUAACUCCGUGCCAGCAGCCGCGGUAAUACGGAGGGUGAGAGCGUUAAUCGGAAUUACUGGGCGUAAAGCGCGCGUAGGUGGCUUGAUAAGCCGGUUGUGAAAGCCCCGGGCUCAACCUGGGAACGGCAUCCGGAACUGUGAAGCUAGAGUGCAGGAGAGGAAGGUAGAAUUCCCGGUGUAGCGGUUAAAUGCGUAGAGAUCGGGAGGAAUACCAGUGGCGAAGGCGGCCUUCUGGACUGACACUGACACUGAGGUGCGAAAGCGUGGGUAGCAAACAGGAUUAGAUACCCUAGUAGUC